GACGAACCGUGCGAACGUUGUUCGGAUUCACUGGGCUUAAAGGGCGCGUAGGCGGGCGCGUAGGUCUUGGGUGAAAUCCCCCAGCUCAACUGGGGGACGGCCCGGGAUACCGCGCGUCUGGAGGGAGGUAGGGGCCGACGGAACUUCCGGUGGAGCGGUGAAAUGCGUAGAUAUCGGAAGGAACGCCGGUGGCGAAAGCGGUCGGCUGGACCUCUACUGACGCUGAGGCGCGAAAGCCAGGGGAGCGAACGGG
rnacentral:rRNA from 1 species